rnacentral:rRNA from 1 species
GACGAACGCUGGCGGCGUGCUUAACACAUGCAAGUCGAACGGAAAGGCCCUGCUUUUGUGGGGUGCUCGAGUGGCGAACGGGUGAGUAACACGUGAGUAACCUGCCCUUGACUUUGGGAUAACUUCAGGAAACUGGGGCUAGUACCGGAUAGGAGCCCCUGCUGCAUGGUGGGGGUUGGAAAGUUUCGGCGGUUGGGGAUGGACUCGCGGCUUAUCAGCUUGUUGGUGGGGUAGUGGCUUACCAAGGCUUUGACGGGUAGCCGGCCUGAGAGGGUGACCGGCCACAUUGGGACUGAGAUACGGCCCAGACUCCUACGGGAGGCAGCAGUGGGGAAUAUUGCACAAUGGGCGGAAGCCUGAUGCAGCAACGCCGCGUGCGGGAUGACGGCCUUCGGGUUGUAUACCGCUUUCGCCUGUGACGAAGCGUGAGUGACGGUAAUGGGUAAAGAAGCACCGGCUAACUACGUG